rnacentral:rRNA from 1 species
ACUGAACGCUGGCGGCAGGCCUAACACAUGCAAGUCGAGCGGCAGCGGGAAAGUAGCUUGCUACUUUUGCCGGCGAGCGGCGGACGGGUGAGUAAUGCCUGGGGAUCUGCCCAGUCGAGGGGGAUAACUACUGGAAACGGUAGCUAAUACCGCAUACGCCCUACGGGGGAAAGCAGGGGACCUUCGGGCCUUGCGCGAUUGGAUGAACCCAGGUGGGAUUAGCUAGUUGGUGAGGUAACGGCUCACCAAGGCGACGAUCCCUAGCUGGUCUGAGAGGACGGUCAGCCACACGGGAACUGAGACACGGUCCAGACUCCUACGGGAGGCAGCAGUGGGGAAUAUUGCACAAUGGGGAACCCCUGAUGCAGCCAUGCCGCGUGUGUGAAGAAGGCCUUCGGGUUGUAAAGCACUUUCAGCGAGGAGGAAAGGUUGGUAGCUAAUAACUGCCAGCUGUGACGUUACUCGCAGAAGAAGCACCGGCUAACUCCGUGCCAGCAGCAGCCGCCGUAA